rnacentral:rRNA from 1 species
AAUAAAGGACAAUGGGGGCAACCCUGAUCCAGCCAUGCCGCGUGUGUGAAGAAGGUCAUCGGAUUGUAAAGCACUUUAAGUUGGGAGGAAGGGCUUUAGGUUAUUACCCUGAAGUUUUGACGUUACCAACAGAAUAAGCACCGGCUAACUCUGUGCAUGCAGCCACGGUAAUUCAGAGGGUGCAAGCUUUAAUCGGAAUUACUGGGCGUAAAGCGGCUGUAGGUUGUUCAGUAAGAUGGGUGUGAAAACCCCGGACUUAACCUUGGAACUGCUUUCAUAACAGCUUGCCUAGAAUACGGUAGAGGGUAGUGGAAUUUCAUGUGUAGCGGUGAAAUGCGUAGAUAUAGGAAGGAACACCAGUAGCGAAGGAGACUACCUGGACUGAUACUGACACUGAGGUGCGAAAGCGUGGGGAGCAAA